UGUCUAGACUAAAAUAAGAAUAAGAAUAUGUAGCGUUUGUGGGAGACUCACCUGUGUCAUGGAAGACAAAGAAACAAGGAGUGGUGUCGCAUUCGUCUGCAGAAGCUGAGUAUAGGUCUAUGGCACAAGCUACGCGGGAAGUAAAGUGGCUCAGGAGACUGUUGUGUGAUUUGGGAGCUCCGCAACGUCAGCCCUCAAAAAUGUAUUGUGAUAGUAAGUCUGCAAUUCAUAUCGCAGCCAAUCCGGUGUUCCAUGAACGUACGAAACACAUAGAAUCAGACUGUCAUCAGGUUAGGGAUGUGAUUCAAGAUGGGUUGUUGGAGACAGUGCAUGUUCGUACAACAGAGCAGUUGGCAGACGUGUUGACGAAGGCAUUAGGGAGAGUUCAAUUUGAAGAAUUGUUGUUCAAGUUGGGAGUUCGAAACUUGCAUCUUCCCAACUUGAGGGGGAGUAUUAGAGUAGAUAAUGAUGAAGUUGGUUAAACUUGUGAUAAAGAUAAGAGUAGUUAGGAGAAUAUUCACUAAGUCGGUGAUUUGUGUAAUAUAUAUACGAACGUAAUCUAAUGAAUAGGACAACACGUUUAUACAAAUUCACACUAAACAACCUAUAGAGAUCCCGCAUUUUCAAAUAGCAUCUACAUUAACUUUAGAGUGAAGACUUUAGAUGGGUCCUUGAAUUAAUUUUUUAUUCUCACGCCACCUUCUCGCUUAUAUAGAGACACAUCCACACUACUUUGUUUUCAUUGUAGAAUGGGGAGACCUUCGCCAGAGAAAGUCAGAACAGAUUCUACCAUAUCUAUAAGUAAUGUUUUGAAACUCUAAUCAUUAAACACCAACAUCUCCAAAGGAUCUCUAUUUUCUUCUUCAAAAUAGGUUAAUUCUAUAAUAGAGCUGAGUUAAUAAAAUCAUUUUUAAUUGAUCACUAUUAUUUCUUCAAAAUAGAGUAAAUACUAAAAUGAAAAUGAGUUAUAAUCUAACGAUACUCUAUUUUAUACUAAAAACAGAGUGAUGAGCAAAAAAAUAAAUAAAUUAAAUUAUUGAUUUAGUAGAUCCAUUUUUUACUAUAUUAUAAAAUGAAAAUUGAGUAGGAUUAAAAUAUUUUUAUUUUCGAUUCUAUUUUACAGUGAAAAAUAGAAUGAUGUUAAAGAUGCUCUAGUACUCUAUUUUAAAGUGAAUAAAAAUAAUGAACAAAACAUAAAUGAAUUACUUAAUUAUGGAGUAACCAUUUUUAACUAUUAUAUAGUUAAAAACAGAAUUAGAAUUAUGAACAUUUUUAUUUUAAACUCUAUUUUAUAGUGAAAAUAGAGUUAUGCUAGACAUGUUUUUGGUGAUAUUACUCCCUCCGUUUCUUAAUGUAUAAUGUUUUGAGAAAUUUUUGAUGUUUCAGUACGUAAGAUGUUUUUAUUUUUCUAUGUAACUUUUAAUGUUAUUAAAAAUUAUGUAAUCAAUAGUAUUUUGUUGGUUAGAUAGUUUUUAAUUUAUACUUUAAAUGAUAUUUUUAAAUAAAUAUUAAAUUUCUUAACUGUUAUGCACAUGUAUAAAAUAUCAUACAUUUUGAAACUGAGGGAGUAUUACUCAUUGAAUGAGUUGUAAUUGACAUGCGCAUGAACACUAUAAUUUAGUUACUUUAUAUAGCAAAUUAAAUUGUUGAUAAAAGAACAGAACCAUUUAAAAAUUUCAAUUGCAAUAUAUCAUAUAUGGUAGUCGUGAUAGUGUGUGGGGUAUUCUAAGGGAAUGAGAUUGGAACUCACUCUCAAAGACUUAUCGAGUACACAGGUAUGUUAUGCUUGCCAAAUAAGAAAGUUGCUAACCUCAAACUCUGUGGCUUAGAGAGGGGCUCUUGAACAAGACAUCUUUCAUUCAGUGAGUCUUUUC
rnacentral:lncRNA from 1 species